GUAAAAUUUCGUGGAGGUCCGAACCCACGAGCGUUGAAAAGCUCGGGGAUGACUUGUGGGUAGCGGUGAAAUUCCAAUCGAGCCCGGAGAUAGCUGGUUCUCCCCGAAAUAGCUUUAGGGCUAGCCUCAAGGUGAGAGAUACGGAGGUAGAGCACUGAAUGUCCUAGGGGGUAUUGCACCUACCGAAGACUAUCAAACUCCGAAUGCCGUCAUCUUAUACUUGGGAGUCAGACUGUGGGUGAUAAGAUUCAUAGUCGAAAGGGCAACAGCCCAGAUCGUCAGCUAAGGUCCCUAAAUGUAAGUUAAGUGGUAAAGGAUGUGGGAUUGCACAGACAACCAGGAUGUUGGCUUAGAAGCAGCCACUCAUUCAAAGAGUGCGUAAUAGCUCACUGGUCGAGUGAUCCUGCGCCGAAGAUUUCCGGGGCUAAAACUUACUACCGAAGCUACGGCAUCAGUAAUGAUGGGUAGGGGAGCUUCCCAUACGGGUUGAAGCAUGACCGUAAGGACAUGUGGACAGUAUGGGAGUGAGAAUGUUGGCAUGAGUAGCGAGAUGUGGGUGAGAAUCCCACAGGCCGUAAACCCAAGGUUUCCAGGGGAAGGUUCGUCCGCCCUGGGUUAGUCGGGACCUAAGCUGAGGCCGAAAGGCGUAGGUGAUGGACAACAGGUUGAUAUUCCUGUACUACCGAUAACCGUUUGAGAGAAGGGAUGACACAGUAGGAUAAGCUAAGCACACUGUUGGUUAUGUGUGCCCAAGCAUUGAGGCAGUCAAAGUAGGCAAAUCCGCUUUGAUAAUGCUGGGAUGUGAUGGGGAGCGAAAUUUAGUAGCGAAGUAGCUGAUUUCACACUGUCAAGAAAAGUCUCUAUCGAGGUUAAAGGUACCCGUACCGCAAACCGACACAGGUGGGUGAGGAGAGUAUCCUAAGGCCAGCGAGAGAACUGUUGUUAAGGAACUCGGCAAAAUGACCCCGUAACUUAGGGAUAAGGGGUGCCACCAUCAGGUGGCCGCAGAGAAUAGGCCCAAGCGACUGUUUACCAAAAACAUAGGUUUCUGCUAAGUCGCAAGACGAUGUAUAGGAGCUGACGCCUGCCCGGUGCUGGAAGGUUAAGGGGAUCUGUUAGAGCAAUCGAAGCAGUGAACUUAAGCCCCAGUAAACGGCGGCCGUAACUAUAACGGUCCUAAGGUAGCGAAAUUCCUUGUCGGGUAAGUUCCGACCCGCACGAAAGGCGUAACGAUUUGGGCACUGUCUCAACAACAGACUCGGUGAAAUUGUAAUUCCGGUGAAGAUGCCGGAUACCUGCGACAGGACGGAAAGACCCCAUGGAGCUUUACUGUAGCUUGACAUUGGGUCUUGGUACUACAUGUACAGGAUAGGUGGGAGGCUUUGAAACCAGGACGCCAGUUUUGGCGGAGCCAUCCUUGGGAUACCACCCUUGUA
rnacentral:rRNA from 1 species